AUAAGAAAAUUUAUUGUUCAAAAUAGAAGCAAAUCAGAUGAGACCAACAGGUCAAUAUGGAUGAUGGUGGCAGCAUGUCUUGCAGCAGGACCAAAAUCGGUGGAAGCCUCAGUUUUCCUGGCCAUUCCUUGACGGAACUGAGUUUUACCAUCAGUGGCAUCUCUGAGGAAAGACUUACUGCAGUUCUUCUCAUGGAGGUCAAGGUAGGCCCCUCCCCCACCAGGCACCUGUAGCAAGUCCUUCACCAGCUCAUUGUAGACUUCAACCAUCGACAUCGACACACGAGGGUUUUGCCGUCUGACUCUGACUUCAUGGUUAGUUUUGAAAUUUCACGACACCUUGAAUGACUUUCCCAAAAUAUCGGAAUCAAAUGUUCGGUCAUUAAAAGAAAUGGUCGGAUUAAGUAAAAUGCUGUUUCCUAUAACUACUUUUUUGGCCUUUGACGUCAAAUGAAAAAAAAUUAAUAGAC
rnacentral:sRNA from 1 species